rnacentral:rRNA from 1 species
AGUGAACGCUGGUGGUAGGCCUAACACAUGCAAGUCGAACGGCAGCACAGUAAGAGCUUGCUCUUACGGGUGGCGAGUGGCGGACGGGUGAGGAAUACAUCGGAAUCUACUUUUUCGUGGGGGAUAACGUAGGGAAACUUACGCUAAUACCGCAUACGACCUACGGGUGAAAGUAGGGGAUCUUCGGACCUUGCGCGAUUGAAUGAGCCGAUGUCGGAUUAGCUAGUUGGCGGGGUAAAGGCCCACCAAGGCGACGAUCCGUAGCUGGUCUGAGAGGAUGAUCAGCCACACUGGAACUGAGACACGGUCCAGACUCCUACGGGAGGCAGCAGUGGGGAAUAUUGGACAAUGGGCGCAAGCCUGAUCCAGCCAUACCGCGUGGGUGAAGAAGGCCUUCGGGUUGUAAAGCCCUUUUGUUGGGAAAGAAAAGCAGCAGGUUAAUACCCCGCUGUUCUGACGGUACCCAAAGAAUAAGCACCGGCUAACUUCGU